GCCAGAUAACAAUUCAUUAAAGAACCAAAUAGGCAACUGAUUUAUGCACAUCAGCACAACGCAAAUGCAAAAGAAGUUCAUUUAGUUGUUUGAUCAAAUUAUAAAGUUAAGUACUUUUCCAUAUACAAUUAUGUAGAAACACAAUGUAGUAGCAAAUUCUAAAAAGUUAGAAGCUAGUUAGAAGGGGGGAUUGAAAAAGAAACAAAAAUAUAUGCAAACCUACACAAACAACCAACAUGAACACCACAGAAGAUUUUUGCCUCUAAGAGUAAUGGAUAUUCAACUAAUACUGAACAGGGGUAAGAUUCAUAUCAUGAAUUAUAUGUAUCCCAGUCAAACCUGGGUUGUGAGAAAAGCUCAUAGUCAAUGGGUCCAUCUACAAUACUAUCAACGGUCUGGAUGCCUUCCAAAAGAGCUGAUUGAAAACCAUCAUUAUCAGAAGGCAAUAAUUUGUACAUUACUAACAAUCCAAGAGUGAAAAUGGCCUGCAACUUCGUGGAGUCUCCAUGGACUGAAAAGAAUAAAAGCAUUGAAAGAAGGAAUAAAUCAACACAGAACCGCAUGAUACACAGUACUGUGUCCAUCAACCUCCCAUCGUUGCCUGCGGGAAAUCCCCGGACUCUAUAUAUAAAAAGAAAGUUGUACUUGUCAACCACAUAUCUAUACCCAAAAUAAACUGCACCAACAGGGACCACAAGUGGAGCAAAUGACGAAUAUAUCAUGGUCAGGGCAAAUAUUGUCAAAUUAAAUGCAUAAUAUUGUGCAAAAUCAAAUUUCUGCUUGGGAAUGGGAGAGGUUCUGCUGAUUGGAUAUUCAGAAAGAUUUUGUCCCUCUGGAUCAAUUCCAUUAAAUCUGGGGGAGUCAAACACAUUCUCAUGCAUCAGUGGUCUCUGAAGACUGUUUAUCAUCUGAUUUUCCAGGGGGUACUCUUCGCUUUGCUCUGGCACUAACUGGAGCAUGUCAUUCUUCCGAAAUUUCUUGAUCUUUUUCUUUAUCCAAGGGAUUGGAGCCAAUAGAUCAAAAGAUAUUCCCAAGAAGGUGCUUGUGAUUAAAAAUGCAAGAGAAGAAAGGCAUGAUCUUGACAAGAAUGAUGCACUCAUAUAUUGCUCAAUCCUCUUGCAAUCCUCUCCAUCCAAAUAACACCUACCCAUCUUCAAGAUUGCACUUUCCAAAGAAGACUCAACCAGAGCUCUCAAUAGAAUAAGAUUUACAAGGAAGAAGCAAACCAUCUUUAGAAGUGCAGCUCUUUGCUCCCCAGACACAGUCAGAUGACGUUCAAACUUGGAAAGAUAAGAAAGAGCUGAAGGAACUACUAUAUACAUGCUCACAAAUAUUAUGACAUUAGGCAAGAACUGGAAAAUCAGAGAUGCAAACCAGCUGGAACUUUGCACCCAGGCCAACCAUGAUUGAGCAUUAUCCAUUGCUUCGGCAUUAAUGAUCCGGCCAGCACUCGUCAGGGCAGUUAUAACCGCAAGGGGAGAGCUAAAGAACAAAAGCAUCAACAGUAAGCAUGUGUUUACAAAUGAUCUCCGAAGCUUCAGUGACAGCUUUGUCGAACCCAAAUGGUUCCAGUAAAUAUCUGUUGCCAGUGGGGCUCGUUCGACUUUCCAUUGGUUCCUUUGCAGCCGCAACUCCAUAAUAGAGAAGAACUUACCAAAACGCCUCAUCUUCUCAUUGCGGAAGUCCUGAACAGCUUUAUUAGCUGUAUAAACAUCUUUAAAAAUCACAAAUGCAACUCCUGCACUUGGUGCACGGCCUUCUUUGUAUGCUGCCAAAUCGGACUCUAAUUCUGCUCUCAUUUCUUGUAAUUUCCUCAACUUCUCUUCAUCUGUGUAACCCAAUCCAUCCAUCAUCUGAUCCCACAUAAUUUUCACUCUUCCACACAAAUAAAUCACCCAGCCCCUUAAUCUCUCCACAAAACCCUCUCCCAUAAUGUCAUUAUCAUUCUCUUCAGGCAAAAGUCUAGAGUCAAUUCGAGCAACUAACCAAGUAAUUUCAUCCCUCACCCUAAUCAACUCAGAGGCUAAAUCAUCCAAUGUACACAAAUCCAUAGGAACAAUAACCUUAUAAACCUUACCAGGAUACCUAUGUUGAAAAUACUCGAGCAGUACAACCCUAUCAUCCCCCAAACUCUUAGGCAAUCCCUGUACCAUGAUAGUAAAAAUAGCAGUAGAAUUCGCAUUUGGGUCACUCAAAUUCCCAUUUCCAUCCCUAAAUCUAGUUAUUUUCAGCCUCUCUUCAAUGACAGACAUACCGAAAUGCACUAAUACAACGACAAUAACAACAAACAGAAAAUGAAUCCACAGAUAACCCGAACCUUUUUCGAUAUGAUUUAUCGUCGUCUUGGAGAAUUGGUCAUCAAGUACGGCAGUUCCAGCGUAGAGAUUCAAUGGAAGAAGAAUACAAAUUGAUAAAACCGCAAUGGCAAAGAGCGCAACAAAACUUCCGCCUUCAAUUAUGAGGAACUGGGCAGCGUCGGCUCCACAGUGACGGGCGAUCUCUCUCCCAGUUGCAUGCCAGACGGCGAGAAGCUUAGCAGCGAGUGCAGAGGGACCAGGAAUUCGACGGUGGUCGCUGCGAAGCUUGACGAAAAUAAAAAUGAAGACACAGAAGAACAAACCGAUGGCAGAAAUAUUGAGAAGGUACUGGAUGUUGCCGUACCAAGCGCCAGGGAAAUCAGUAUCAGAGUCGCCGGAGGGGGAGGAAGAAGGAGGAGGAGAGAGAGAGCGGUUCAUCGGAGAGAUUGGGGAGAUGAAGAGAGGUGGGUCCAUAGGGAAAUUCGAAUCGUAAUCUAGGGUUUAUGAGAAAAUUCGGAAGGUUUCCUUCAUGAGGUGGAUAUACAAGAAAGAAGAGUAAAAGAGAAUAGAGAGGCAAAGAAAAUACGAAAUGUCAGAUGAUUUUUCUUUUUCUUCUCCUCCUCUUGUCUAUUUGUUCUUUGGACAGAGAGAAGGGGAGAAGUGUUUGGAAGGGAGGCUAACGAGACAAAGGAAGGCGACACAAUUGUAGUGGCUCGCUGUCGCUGAC
rnacentral:misc_RNA from 1 species